ACAACUUUUCGCGUCGGUCUACCGAGCAAUAUCACCCGCUCCAUGGAAGACCUUGCCUCCGUCGU
rnacentral:pre_miRNA from 1 species